rnacentral:rRNA from 1 species
ACGAGCGGCGGACGGGUGGAGGUAACACGUGGACAAUCUCGCCCCCCGGCCCGGGAUAGCCCAGGGAAACCUGGAUUAAUACCGGAUGAGACGGGACCCGCGAUGGCGGGACCCGGGAAAGGCGCUGCGGCGCCGCCGGGGGAUGAGUCUGCGUCCCAUUAGCUAGACGGCGGGGUAACGGCCCACCGUGGCGACGAUGGGUAGCCGGCCUGAGAGGGUGGACGGCCACAUUGGAACUGAGACACGGUCCAGACUCCUACGGGAGGCAGCAGCUAAGAAUCUUCCGCAAUGGGCGAAAGCCUGACGGAGCGACGCCGCGUGAACGAAGAAGGCCGUGAGGUUGUAAAGUUCUUUUCGGGAGGGGGAACAACCGUGGCAGGGAAUGGCCGCGGGAUGACGUGAAUCCCGGAAUAAGCCCCGGCUAACUACGUGCCAGCAGCAGC